rnacentral:snRNA from 1 species
AGCUUUGCCCAGUAAGUGGCAGUAUCACAGCCAAUGAAGUUUAUCUGAGGCAUGAUUAUUGCUAGUUGAAGAUAU